GACGAACGCUGGCGGCGUGCCUAAUACAUGCAAGUCGAACGGAUCGGCGGACGGGUGAGGAAUGCCUAGGAAUCUGCCUGGGAGUGGGGGAUAGCGACGGGGAACGGAAGCUAAUACCGCUUCCUAUCAGAUCAGCCUAGGUGGGAUUAGCUAGUUGGUGGGGUAAUGGCAUACCAAGGCCACGAUCCGUACCUGGUCUGAGAGGAUGAUCAGUCACACUGGAAGUGAGACACGGUCCAGACUCCUACGGAAGGCAGCAGUGGGGAAUAUUGGACAAUGGGCGAAAGCCUGAUCCAGCAAUGCCGCGUGUGUGAAGAAGGUUUUCGGAUUUUAAAGCACUUUAAUUUGGGAGGCGUUACCGACAGAAUAAGCAACGGCUAACUUCGUGCCAGCAGCCGCGGUAAUAC
rnacentral:rRNA from 1 species